GAUGAACGCUGGCGGCGUGCCUAAUACAUGCAAGUCGAGCGAACAGACGAGGAGCUUGCUCCUUUGACGUUAGCGGCGGACGGGUGAGUAACACGUAGGUAACCUACCUAUAAGACUGGGAUAACUUCGGGAAACCGGAGCUAAUACCGGAUAAUAUUUCGAACCGCAUGGUUCGAUAGUGAAAGAUGGCUUUGCUAUCACUUAUAGAUGGACCUGCGCCGUAUUAGCUAGUUGGUAAGGUAACGGCUUACCAAGGAAACGAUACGUAGCCGACCUGAGAGGGUGAUCGGCCACACUGGAACUGAGACACGGUCCAGACUCCUACGGGAGGCAGCAGUAGGGAAUCUUCCGCAAUGGGCGAAAGCCUGACGGAGCAACGCCGCGUGAGUGAUGAAGGUCUUCGGAUCGUAAAACUCUGUUAUUAGCGAAGAACAAACGUGUAAGUAACUGUGCACGUCUUGACGGUACCUAAUCAGAAAGCCACGGCUAACUACGUG
rnacentral:rRNA from 1 species